rnacentral:rRNA from 1 species
UACGAAGGGGGCUAGCGUUGCUCGGAAUUACUGGGCGUAAAGGGCGCGUAGGCGGAUAGUUUAGUCAGAGGUAAAAGCCCAGGGCUCAACCUUGGAACUGCCUUUGAUACUGGCUAUCUUGAGUACGGGAGAGGUGUGUGGAACUCCGAGUGUAGAGGUGAAAUUCGUAGAUAUUCGCAAGAACACCAGUGGCGAAGGCGGCUCACUGGCCCGAUACUGACGCUGAGGUGCGAAAGCGUGGGGAGCAAACAGG